rnacentral:misc_RNA from 1 species
AUGCUCAUGCAUUUUUAUAAAUAUUUAUUAAUGCAUAUAGUUAGUUAAAAUAAAUUAAAAAUAUUCUUAUUAUUGCACAUUUAAUUAUUGUCAAUUGUCUGUGAUUGCUGCCUAGAGAAUAAUUUGUAGCAAUGUGUUAUUUAUAUAUAUAUGGUACAUGAUGGAUAUAGAUUGUGUAACACCUCAAAUUUUUAAAUUUAUUAUUUUG